UACGAAGGGGGCUAGCGUUGUUCGGAAUUACUGGGCGUAAAGCGCACGUAGGCGGAUAUUUAAGUCAGGGGUGAAAUCCCGGGGCUCAACCCCGGAACUGCCUUUGAUACUGGGUAUCUUGAGUAUGGAAGAGGUAAGUGGAAUUGCGAGUGUAGAGGUGAAAUUCGUAGAUAUUCGCAGGAACACCAGUGGCGAAGGCGGCUUACUGGUCCAUUACUGACGCUGAGGUGCGAAAGCGUGGGGAGCAAACAGG
rnacentral:rRNA from 1 species